rnacentral:lncRNA from 1 species
CAAAAGUUUUUAUACUUUCAAUUCAUUUACAACUUGAUAUUAGCAAUAAUAAAACCAAGAGAGUUCUAUACAUUAGUUCACAAUUUCAGCAUCCAACACCUAUCUUUGAGUAGAGAAGCUCUUUGUCUCUUUGCUGUAGAGAUAAUACAGAAAAUACAAUUAGCAUUUCUCUUAAGUAAAACUUAUUUUAAAAAGUCAAAUGUAAAAAGGAUAGAGCAGGGUAUCAUCAUUUAAACAAUUCAACAACAAAACUUAAUCAGAGAUCAAGAUGGAGCCAUUUUAAAAGCAUAUUAUAUUCAAAUUAAAUCCUAAUCUCUGCAUAUAUAUUCAACAGUAAGCAAGCAAAGAAAAAGGGGAAGAACAGAAAAAUAGCCAUAAGAAAAAUUUCAAACCAAAAUAUUGAAACAUUUUUCAAACAACAAACAUACAAAAUUUGGAAUACUAAGCAUCAAAUUUCAUUAGAACCAUAACCUACAGAGAUCAAAAAUUUUGAAACAAUCCAAAAGGACGAAUUUUUGAAGCAGCCUAAAACAUCAGAUCUCCCUCAAACAUUUUUUAUAGCAGUACUCACAGAGAAGAAAAAAAGGGGAAGGAUUCGAAAUCGCACAAAAGUGAAGCUUACCCGAAAUUAGCUUUGAAGCAAAAAAUUUAUUUGGUAUCCAUCUCUGAAUCUCUCUUUCCUUUCAUUUUCAUUGUGAUGCUUGUGAACUGAGUGUUUGACUUAUUAAGUGUUGAUUUUCGAAAGUAAUAGUUUUGAUGAAUCCUCUUAUGAAACCGGCACAAAGUUUUUUUUUCUCUCAACUUGAAUGUGUGUAUUUCUUCAUGACUUUCGAACAUAUGAUGGUGUACCAGUGAAUCAAUCUUUGAUUUCAGCCAUGAAUGUAGGUUGAGGUUUCGUUUCCGUUCUUUUGAUUUUGGUUAGAGGGGAUCGUUUGGUUUUUUUUUUGUUGAAAUUGAUUAUAAAGGGGUGAUUUUAUUUCAAUUUGUGUUGGAGCUGUUUAAAAGGGAUUUGUUCUAUUUCAUUUGAUUCUAUUCAUUUUUGUGAGGACUUGAAUUUGUUUCAACAUCGUGAGAUGGAGAUGGAAGAAAGGGUGGUGUUUGGUUUCAGAGAGAGAAACGGGAUCUAUUAGUUGCUUUUUUUUUUCAUUUAAU